CUCGCCUUUCCCCGCCCGCCCCGAGUGAGGGAAUGCAAUCCCCUCCAAGCGCAGACAGGCAGCGGCGGCGGCGGCUCCUCUGCAGCGGCGGCGGCUCCGGGCACCCAGAGAAAGCUGUCAAAGGCGCCCGUGCCCGGGGCUGGGCGCGCGCCGCCUCGCUCCGAGCCCCCGCCCCCGGCCUCCAGGUACCCCAGAGCGCGAGCGGCCGCGCGGCACGUGCGCCCCGCGCCGCCGCAGCCCCCGGAGCGGAGCCCGAGCCCGAGCCCGAGCCGGAGCCCGAGCCGGGGGCCGGGAGCCGGCGCGGGGCGGGGGCGCACGCGGCGGCCGGCAGCCCCGGACCUCGGCGCUGCCCCGCGCCCCGCGCCCAGGGCGGACUAUGCCAUUGGGAGCCCGCCGGGGCCGAGGCCAACUUGGAGCCGCCGCGGCCGGGGGAGGAGGAGGUGCCCGGGCGGCCCGGAGCAGCUCUCCCCGGGGCCGCGGCCGAGGCGGAGGGGCCCCGGCCGCGCAGCCUUGAGGCGGAGGAGCAGCCAGCCCCCGGCGGGCCGGGGCCGGAGGAAGAGCUCGGGGCCGCGCCAGGCCGGAGGGGAGCGCCCUGCCCUGCCCCGCUCUGCCCCGCGCCGCACGCACGCACGCAGCCCGAGGCCAGCAGAGGAUGUCAGCACAUGUGUGCCAUGGUAUCAUUCACCCUUCACUGCAGCCCGAGGCUUGUCCUCCUCUUCUGCUCAUGAGUGCCGGGGACGACACUGCAGGUGGGCGGUCCAGAUCAGGAGAUUCCAGGUUUGACUCCUGGCUGUCCGGGCUGUCUGACGUCGUGUCUCCUUCCAGCAGAAGGUAAGCUCCCAGAGGGCAGAGACUGCUCAGUUUUAGUCUUUUCCCUCCCACCCACCCUUGCCCAGGGCCUUGUACACAGU
rnacentral:lncRNA from 1 species